rnacentral:rRNA from 1 species
CCUACGGGAGGCAGCAGUGAGGAAUAUUGGUCAAUGGCCGGAAGGCUGAACCAGCCAUGCCGCGUGAAGGUCAGUGCCCUAUGGGCGUUAAACUUCUUUUGUGCGGGAGCAAUAAUGGUCACGUGUGGCCAGACGAGAGUACCGUACGAAUAAGCAUCGGCUAACUCCGUGCCAGCAGCCGCGGUAAUACGGGGGAUGCAAGCGUUAUCCGGAUUUAUUGGGUUUAAAGGGUGCGUAGGCUGUGAGGUAAGUCAGCGGGGAAAUGCCCCCGCUCAACGGGGUGAAGUGCCAUUGAUACUGCCUUGCUGGAGUGCGGAUGCCGUGGGAGGAAUGUGUGGUGUAGCGGUGAAAUGCAUAGAUAUCACACAGAACACCGAUUGCGAAGGCAUCUCACGAAUCCGCGAUUGACGCUGAUGCACGAAAGCGUGGGUAUCAAACAGGAUUAGAUACCCCAGUAGUC